GUGGCCUGGUGGUUAAAACACCAGGCUCAUAACUUUGGGGUCGUGGGUUCGAGCCCGGU
rnacentral:tRNA from 1 species